GGAGACGUGGCCGAGAGGCUGAAGGCGGCGGUUUGCUAAACCGUUAUACGCUUGUAAAGGCGUAUCGAGGGUUCGAAUCCCUCCGUCUCCGCCA
rnacentral:tRNA from 1 species